rnacentral:tRNA from 1 species
AGAAAGUUAGUUAAAACAUAACAUAAGGUUGUCAGCUUUAUAUUACUGGCCUAAAUUUAGUACUUUCUA